UGAGAACUGGCAGUACAGGGUUUUUUCAUGAUGUAAUAAGGAUUCAAGGAUUUAGCCACAAAAGUCAGAACCAGGCUGCGUUUAGCAAGCUACCUCUGGCAGGUGUGUAGGUGGUGGCUAUGUGAAGAAACGCUGAGUGGCAAGGAUCUUAUAAGAAAGCUGGAGACAAGUAAUGAUACGGGCUUCAUUAAACUCAUCGCUGGAAAUGGAACAGAGGGUACUGAUUCAACACCUUAUAUGUAUGUAAGAAGACUAAUUAUGCCAAUUAUUUAAGGAGGAUUUUCAAGAUGGACCCCCAAAGGUCUGGGCGAAGAUAGACCUGCAGAUACUUCUAAGACAGUAUCUGGUUUGGAUGCUGUAAAAGACUGAAGGGAUUGUUUGGAAAAACUCACUGAAUGAGUGUUUUGGUGGACUACCACCCCAGAAUGUGAGUUACUCUUAUACAUGUACAACAUGACUUGUAUGGAUCCAGCAACUCUGACUG
rnacentral:lncRNA from 1 species